AACGAACGCUGGCGGCAGGCCUAACACAUGCAAGUCGAGCGGGUCCUUCGGGACUAGCGGCGGACGGGUUAGUAACGCGUGGGAACGUGCCCAAAGGUACGGAAUAGCCUCGGGAAACUGAGAGUAAUACCGUAUGUGUCCCUCGGGGGAAAGAUUUAUCGCCUUUGGGUCGGCCCGCGUUGGAUUAGGUAGUUGGUGGGGUAAUGGCCUACCAAGCCGACGAUCCAUAGCUGGUUUGAGAGGACGAUCAGCAACACUGGGACUGAGACACGGACCAGACCCCUACGGGAGGAAGCAGUGGGGAAUCUUAGACAAUGGGGGAAACCCUGAUCUAGCCAUGCCGCGUGGACGAUGAAGGCCUUAGGGUUGUAAAGUCCUUUCAGCUGGGAAGAUAAUGACGGUACCAGCAGAAGAAGCCCCGGCUAACUCCGUGCCAGCCGCCGCGGUAAUAC
rnacentral:rRNA from 1 species